rnacentral:misc_RNA from 1 species
AACGCAUCUUGCGCUCCUUGGUAUUCCGAGGAGCAUGCCUGUUUGAGUGUCAUUAAAUUCUCAACCUUACCAGCUUUGCUGCUUGGUCUGGCUUGGAUAUGGGGGUUUUUGCAGGCUUUCGCAAGUCAGCUCCCCUGAAAUGCAUUAGCGGUGCCCUUUGUGGUAAACGGCUAUUGGUGUGAUAAUUAUCUACGCCAUUAGACGCCCACGACUUUAUGGGGGUUAUGCCGCUUCUAACUGUCCAUUGACUUGGACAAAUCAAUGACAUUUUUGACCUCAAAUCAGGUAGGACUACCCGCUGAACUUAA